rnacentral:rRNA from 1 species
ACCCUGGUAGUCCACGCCGUAAACGAUGUCGACUUGGAGGUUGUGCCCUUGAGGCGUGGCUUCCGGAGCUAACGCGUUAAGUCGACCGCCUGGGGAGUACGGCCGCAAGGUUAAAACUCAAAUGAAUUGACGGGGGCCCGCACAAGCGGUGGAGCAUGUGGUUUAAUUCGAUGCAACGCGAAGAACCUUACCUGGUCUUGACAUCCACAGAACUUUCCAGAGAUGGAUUGGUGCCUUCGGGAACUGUGAGACAGGUGCUGCAUGGCUGUCGUCAGCUCGUGUUGUGAAAUGUUGGGUUAAGUCCCGCAACGAGCGCAACCCUUAUCCUUUGUUGCCAGCGGUCCGGCCGGGAACUCAAAGGAGACUGCCAGUGAUAAACUGGAGGAAGGUGGGGAUGACGUCAAGUCAUCAUGGCCCUUACGACCAGGGCUACACACGUGCUACAAUGGCGCAUACAAAGAGAAGCGACCUCGCGAGAGCAAGCGGACCUCAUAAAGUGCGUCGUAGUCCGGAUUGGAGUCUGCAACUCGACUCCAUGAAGUCGGAAUCGCUAGUAAUCGUGGAUCAGAAUGCCACGGUGAAUACGUUCCCGGGCCUUGUACACACCGCCCGUCACACCAUGGGAGUGGGUUGCAAAAGAAGUAGGUAGCUUAACCUUCGGGAGGGCGCUUACCACUUUGUGAUUCAUGACUGGGGUGAAGUCGUAACAAGGUAACCGUAGGGGAACCUGCGGUUGGAUCAC